CAUCCCCAGUAUUAAAAUUCAGUUCAGAUGUCCUAAAAAUUCAUCCCGAAUCCAAAUUCUACAAAAGUCCUCGCCGACAUAUCGAGUAGUCGCUUCUCCCUCCCGACUCCCGACUCUCGACUCCCACCUUCCACAUCCAUCUCCAUCCCUUUAGCCCAGCGCCCGCCCCCUCUCUCCUCCCCGCUUGAGUAGCCAAAGCCAAGCCAGUCAAGCAUGUUUUCCUUCCCCAUUCAAUCCCUUCUCCCCGGAAUACCACCAAAAAUUUUGAAAUGCGGUUUUCCGAUAUGGCGCAAAUGUUAUCUCUCACCACCUCCUUUCACUUCCGUUACUCCUUAACCGCUGACUAGUUAUAGAGAUAGAGAGAGGUGGGAAAAGGAGAAAGUUUAGGAAGCUCGAAGCAAUAUUGUUUUUCGGUUUGUGGAAUGACGGAUUACCGGUUACCGACGAUGAAUCUAUGGACGGACGACAACGCGUCGAUGAUGGAAGCAUUUAUGGCUUCUGAUCUCUCUCAGUUUUCGUGGGCGCCUUCGGCGUCUGCUUCCACGACUACUACUGCAACUGACCCUUCGAGAGCCACGCACCAAUCUCAACCGUCGAUGUUCUUCAAUCAAGAGACGCUGCAGCAGCGGCUUCAAACCCUAAUCGAAGGUGCUCGUGAGAGCUGGACGUACGCGAUAUUCUGGCAAUCAUCUGUUGACAUUUCUGGUGCUUCUCUGCUCGGAUGGGGCGAUGGGUACUACAAGGGUGAAGAGGAUAAGAUGAAGAGGAAGGUGACGGUUUCUCCGGCGGAGCAGGAGCACCGGAAAAAGGUACUCAGGGAGCUCAAUUCUUUGAUUUCCGGUGCCCCGCCUUCUGCCGACGAUACGGUGGAUGAAGAGGUUACCGAUACCGAAUGGUUCUUUCUUGUGUCGAUGACGCAGUCGUUUAUCAACGGUGCCGGGCUUCCCGGUCAAGCCUUCUUUGCUUCGUCUCCCCUGUGGCUUGCCGGAAGUGAGAGGCUUGCAAGCUCGUCCUGCGAGCGGGCGAGACAAGGACAGAUUUUCGGUUUGCAGACUAUGGUGUGUAUACCAUCGGCCAACGGUGUCCUUGAAUUGGGCUCGACGGAGUUGAUAUUCCAGAGCUCGGAUCUGAUGAAUAAGGUUAAGGUUUUAUUUAAUUUCAAUAAUCCUGAGAGUGGUCCUUGGUCGACGACGCAGACGGAUCAGGGCGAGAACGAUCCGUCGUCGCUCUGGAUCUCGGAUCCGUCGAUGCUCGACAUUAAGGAGUCUGUGAAUGCAGCUCCAGCUGCUUCAGCUGUUGCUCCUCCUAAUCAGGAGAUUUCGAAGCCAAUUCAGAUCGAGAAUCAAAGCACAAGUAAUCUAACCGAAAACCCUAGCACGAUUUCACUCCAAACCAAGCACCAAAGCCACCAUCAACAGCAGCAGACACAGGGUUUCUUCACUAGAGAGAUAAAUUUCUCUGACUUCGGGUUAGAAGGAAGCACUACAAAGAAAGGAGUUACUCAAUCCUGUAAGCCCGAAUCCGGUGAACUUAUGAAUUUUGGGGGGAGCAGGGGAAACAUGAGCAGUGCAAAUGGGGCUCUGUUCUCGAAUCAUUCACAACAAUUUGUGGCAGAUGACAAGAAGAAGAAGUGUUCUGCCUCAUCAAGGGGAGAGGAAGGAAUGCUAUCCUUCACGUCUGGUGCAGUCGUUCCUUCCGCCUGCGUGAUGAAAUCCAGCGGUGAAAAUUUAGACUCCGAUCAAUCCGAUCUUGAAGCUUCGGUUCGAGAGGUUGAGAGCAGUAGAGUAGGAGAGCCAGAAAAGAAGCCUCGGAAGAGGGGGAGGAAACCCGCAAAUGGCCGAGAAGAGCCUCUGAACCAUGUGGAAGCAGAGCGACAGAGGCGGGAGAAGCUGAAUCAAAGGUUCUACUCUCUUCGAGCUGUGGUACCAAAUGUUUCCAAGAUGGACAAAGCUUCCCUCCUUGGCGAUGCAAUUUCCUACAUCAAUGAGCUUAGAGCGAAGCUGCAAGCAGCUGAAUCUGAUAAGGAGGCACUGCAGACCCAAGUAGAUUGUCUGAAAAAGGACCUUACAUCCCGGAUAUAUCCGGGACCUUCUCCCCAACCUGAUAAAGAUAGAGAUGGGAAAAUUUCGAGCCAGCAAGGAAACAAGGCAUUGGAGAUGGAAAUUGAUGUGAAGAUUCUUGGGUGGGAGGCAAUGGUUCGCAUCCAAUGCAACAAGAAGAACCAUCCAGCAGCAAGGCUGAUGUCUGCUCUUAAGGACCUCGACCUGGAUGUACACUAUGCGAGUGUGUCGGUGGUGAAGGAUUUGAUGAUCCAACAGGCCACCGUUAAGAUGUCAAGUCGAGUUUACACUCAGGAGCAGCUCAGGAUUGCUCUUUCUUCCAAAGUUGCCGAUAAAUGAUUCAACUACUCUGACCUCAGGUUUGUAUUUCCAUGAAAUUGGCAGAGGUGUAGGUUGGAGGAGCAUUUUGAAAUAAUCCCACCGGGCAUAGCUCUAUGUAAAAUAUGAAGUAGCUUAAUUGCUUAGUAGCUUUUAUUUUAUGAUCGAACUUUGACAAUUUCUGCACUGAAUUUGAAGAAGGAUGGAGGAGGAGAAUCCAUCCAAUGGCUGGCGCUGAAGCCUGACCUGCGAAGAAGAGGAGAAAGGAUUAGAUCGAGAUAAAGAGGAUGGACUGAGUAAUACCUCCAUCCGAGUAAAAAUGGUGACACAAAUGGCCUUCUCCGUUUUCAACUUCAAACUAUUUGGCUCUCUUUGUAUCUCUCUAGCUAUGUAUUUCUGGUUGAAUUUUCAACCAAUCCAGAAAUUUAGAGAGCUCAGAGAAGAACCUCCAACAUAGAUGAUGGUUCCUCUGUGAUGUUGGAAGAGGAGCCAAAAAACAAAGGAUUGAAGGUUUAGUCUGGUUGGUUUGGUUUUAUCUUUUUGUUUUUGGUAUGUGAAAUGCAGGCAGAACUUGGCAUAUGUAUUCUAACACAGGAUUGGUUUCUGAGAUUGAGAACAUUAUGGAAAUUGGGAUGUGAGGAAGUCCUUGAAGGAUUUCAUUAAGGUUCCUUUGGGUAAGGUAAAUAGACUUAUUUCAUAAUAAAUACUUACCUGGGUAAGUGCUUUUAAUCUUC